AAGAGUUAGGACCUCACCUGAGAG
rnacentral:miRNA from 1 species